rnacentral:rRNA from 1 species
GUGGGGAAUAUUGGACAAUGGGGGGAACCCUGAUCCAGCCAUGCCGCGUGUGUGAAGAAGGCCUUUUGGUUGUAAAGCACUUUAAGCGAGGAGGAGGCUACCGAGAUUAAUACUCUUGGAUAGUGGACGUUACUCGCAGAAUAAGCACCGGCUAACUCUGUGCCAGCAGCCGCGGUAAUACAGAGGGUGCAAGCGUUAAUCGGAUUUACUGGGCGUAAAGCGCGCGUAGGUGGCAAAUUAAGUCAAAUGUGAAAUCCCCGAGCUUAACUUGGGAGUUGCAUUCGAUACUGGUUGGCUAGAGUAUGGGAGAGGAUGGUAGAAUUCCAGGUGUAGCGGUGAAAUGCGUAGAGAUCUGGAGGAAUACCGAUGGCGAAGGCAGCCAUCUGGCCUAAUACUGACACUGAGGUGCGAAAGCAUGGGGAGCAAACAGGAUUAGAUACCCCGGUAGUCC